ensembl:lncRNA
ACACACACACACACACACUCACAGAUGCACACAUGCACACAUACACACAUACGCACACACACAAAAACACAGAUACACAGAUACCAAGAUACACUCACACACCAACACAUCCAUGUCCACCCACACACACAACCACACAGACACCCAGACACACACUCACACACACCCAAGCACACACACACACCCAAGCACACACACACACACACACACACACACACACACACACACAACCACACAGACCCAAGAACAGGCGCAGUGGAUGCCCCUGAACACUUCUGGCAACCCACCACCAGCCAAUCACAGAAGGGGAGAUGUCAGCCAUGACAAUCAGAGCCAAUCACAGAGGAGGAGAUGUCAGCGACGACAAUCAGAGCCAAUCACAAUCAGAGCCAAUCCCAGAAAAUGAGAUGUCAACAAUAACAAUCAGAGUCAAUCCCAGAAAAUGAGAUGUCAACAAUAACAAUCAGAGCCAAUCACAGAGAAGGAGAUGUCAGCGAUGACAAUCAGAGCCAAUCACAGAGAAGGAGAUGUCAGCGAGGACAAUCAGAGCCAAUCACAGAGAAGGAGAUGUCAGCGAUGACAAUCAGAGCCAAUCACAGAGAAGGAGAUGUCAGCAAUGACAAUCAGGGCCAAUGAUCAGGCAAGAAACAACAGUGCAACGGUGACAGCUUGACCCUCCAGUGAAGAUGAGAUCUUUUCUUUGUCUCUGUACCUGCAGGAGAGGAGGCCUUAAAAGUAUUCUGCUAUCACCUCACGAACUACUGCACAAACACAGCACACACACACACACAGCCCACACAACUACCGAACAGACAAACACAGCACACACCUAGAAAACAGCAGUGUCUUACAAUCAUUGCAAUUCGUUGCAAUCAACCAAUGACACAGUAAACAAUAACAACUCAACGGCGUGACAGAGGAGGGGAUGAGAACACUGACACACACCAUGAUGUCACAACUCAACGGCGUGACAGAGGAGGGGAUGAGAACACUGACACAAGCCAUGAUGUCACAACUCAACGGCGUGACAGAGGAGGGGAUGAGAACACUGACACAAGCCAUGAUGUCACAAAGACUGCCUAAAAAAAGAAACAAACAGAAACACACGACUCUAAAUAUCUACAGAGGAAUGAAGCUGUUCUCUGUUCCUCGUUCAGGUGGUCUGUCUGGUUCCAAAGUCAGGGCCAAUACAUCUGUUUCUCUGUGUGUGUGUGUGUGUGUGUGUGUAUGUCUGUAUGUAUGUCCGUCUGUCUUUCUGACAGAACAGGUGCUCUUGGCUCCAGACUUCCCUCAUUGAGCUCAAAAGCACUGUAGUGUGUGUGUGUGUGUGUGUGUGUGUGUGUGUGUGUGCAUGUGUGUGUGUGUGUGUGUGUGUGUGUGUGUGUCUGUCUGUCUGUCUGACUUCUCUCAGUGAUCUCAAAAGCACAUUUUUGUGUUUGCCGUCAGUCAGGACUCCCUCUCAGCCAUAGGACAGGUCACAUGUUCCGCUUGUCUGUGUGUGUGUGUGUGUGUGUGUGUGUGUGUGUGUGUGUGUGUGUGUGUGUGUGUGUGUGUGUGUGUGUGUGUGUGUGUGUGUGUGUGUGUGUGAGUGUGUGUAUGUGUGUGUGUGUGUGUGUGUGUGUGUGUCUACCUAAGGUAUGAAUAGGAAUAACACGUUUGCCAAAAGUAGGACUGAAGGAUCGAGGUCAAGAAACAGUCACUGUGCAACAGCUGGAG